AUGACAGUGUCCAAUUUUGUUUCUUUUUAUUGUUUAUUAUUAUUAUUGUUAUACAUGUUGUACGGGCGCUAUUUAUAUGUCACAUAUAUGCAUUUGGCAACAUACAAAUUUGGGUACGUGGCUUCGGCGUUUGUUUAUGGAUUUCACGGUAAGAAGAUUCUUGUGUUGAACACAUGCACUGAAGAGGUGCACAUGAGUAGUAUUUCUUUACUUGUGAAAAGAAGAAAUACCGGUACAUGUUGUGUCGAGCAUCUGUACGAUGGACCACUCUUUACUUUGCACUUAAAAAGGCAGGUAUAUGUUUUUCUUUAA
rnacentral:rRNA from 1 species